UACGGGGGGGGCAAGCGUUGUUCGGAAUUACUGGGCGUAAAGGGCUCGUAGGCGGCCAACUAAGUCGGAUGUGAAAUCCCCAGGCUUAACCUGGGAACUGCAUCCGAUACUGGAUGGCUUGAAUCCGGGAGAGGGAUGCAGAAUUCCAGGUGUAGCGGUAAAAUGCGUAGAUAUCUGGAGGAAUACCGGUGGCGAAGGCGGCAUCCUGGACCGGCAUUGACGCUGAUGAGCGAAAGCUAGGGGAGCAAACGGG
rnacentral:rRNA from 1 species